rnacentral:misc_RNA from 1 species
UAGGAGUUGGAGGUAGCGAAGUGCGGGCUCGAGUAGGCAUGUUCCUGAUUGAUGUGUGUUCCGUACUUGACCUUGGCGCAACUUCGCCCUCUAGUCGGUGCUUGCCGCGCAAGGCACCGGCCGGGUUUGAUAGAAUCAAGCCUGGGAUGUCCCGAUACCUUUUUUUAAAAAUGCUUUUCAAACGAACCGUUUCAAAAAUAGCUUUCCAAAAAAGAAACUUUUCAGAAAAAAAACUACGAUAGGUAUCGAGUCAUCCAAUUGCGUGGGUGGUAGGUUUCGUUGCUUGUUGAUCUUGCUUAUGUGUUUUGCUAGAAGGGAUUUGUUUCUCAUGUUGCUUGAGUUUUUGCUCGUGAUGAUGAUGUUUCCGUGUCUACGAUUCGUGGCUUAACGAUGAUGUUUCUGUGUCUAAGAUUUGUUGCUGGAGUCUUUUUGCUCGUGACUCCUCGUACGUCAUGGUUACUGAGUUGUUUGGUCUUCGUUCUCGGGGCAUGGGUAGUGACUUUUCCCUCUAUGUGGAUACAUCGGCAAGUGAUGCAUUCUUAUGUUGGUUUUGUUUCUUGAUUUUCGCAUCGUUCGGUGCAUUCUGGGGCUGUUUUGGCUUUUGGUUGCUUGCUUGGCUUUUGAGCCGAACGGGUGGCUUUAAGUUGGCAUGGCUUCGGGGAUGAAGUCCGUAAAGGUGCAUGAGUGGUGUUUGGUUUGUUACGUGUGGUUGGCUGCGGCGCUUGCAACAACUUCCAUGCUUUCAUACCUUUUCAGUUAUUCGACAAGGCUUGUAUCGCCUUGAGCGAGUUGCGGGUUUACUGUAUUGAAUACCUGAUCAACGGUAUCGGUUGUACAGAUCAAAGUUGCAUUUCGUCUUGCGUUGCAUUUGCGACGUGAGGUGAACCAUGAUGCGGUCUCUUUGUUCCACCUUGUUGAAGGAAUGUUUCAACAUUGUGGCACAUUGAGCAUUGCUUGGCGUCUUGUAUACGGAACAUAUAGUGGGCAUGGAUCUAACGAUUCUUGAUUGCCCUCUUAUUAGCGUUCUCGCUUCUCUAAAACGGCUUGUGCUGCGUGUUGGCUUGUCCCAUUCGUGGUGCUAGUCGA